GACGAACGCUGGCGGCGUGCUUAACACAUGCAAGUCGAACGGAAAGGCCCUGCUUUUGUGGGGUGCUCGAGUGGCGAACGGGUGAGUAACACGUGAGUAACCUGCCCUUGACUUUGGGAUAACUUCAGGAAACUGGGGCUCAUACCGGAUAGGAGCUCCUGCUGCAUGGUGGGGGUUGGAAAGUUUCGGCGGUUGGGGAUGGACUCGCGGCUUAUCAGCUUGUUGGUGGGGUAGUGGCUUACCAAGGCUAUGACGGGUAGCCGGCCUGAGAGGGUGACCGGCCACAUUGGGACUGAGAUACGGCCCAGACUCCUACGGGAGGCAGCAGUGGGGAAUAUUGCACAAUGGGCGGAAGCCUGAUGCAGCAACGCCGCGUGCGGGAUGACGGCCUUCGGGUUGUAAACCGCUUUCGCCUGUGACGAAGCGUGAGUGACGGUAAUGGGUAAAGAAGCACCGGCUAACUACGUG
rnacentral:rRNA from 1 species